UACGUAGGGAGCAAGCGUUGUCCGGAAUCAUUGGGCGUAAAGCGCGCGUAGGCGGCCUCAUAAGUCCGUUGUGAAAGUCAAAGGCUCAACCUUUGAAAGCCGAUGGAUACUGUGAGGCUAGAGUCCGGAAGAGGCGAGUGGAAUUCCUGGUGUAGCGGUGGAAUGCGCAGAUAUCAGGAGGAACACCGAUGGCGAAGGCAGAUCUCUGGGCCGUAACUGACGCUGAGGAGCGAAAGCGUGGGGAGCGAACAGG
rnacentral:rRNA from 1 species